rnacentral:rRNA from 1 species
GAGCGUAGGGCGCGAGCGUUGUCCGGAUUAUUGGGCGUAAAGAGCUCGUAGGCGGCUUGAUUGCGUCGACUGUGAAAACCCGGGGCUCCAACUCCGGGCCUGCAGUCGAUACGGGCUGGCUUGAGUGCGGUAGGGGAGACUGGAAUUCCUGGUGUAGCGGUGAAAUGCGCAGAUAUCAGGAGGAACACCGGUGGCGAAGGCGGUUCUCUGGGCAUGUCCUGACGCUGGAGGAGCGAAAGUGUGGGAGGCGAACAGG